rnacentral:lncRNA from 1 species
UAGACUCACCCUUGUGCACCCCCUGUGGUGGACUUGCUGUUAGUAGAUCUAUGCCACAGCAAUCUGCAGCCAGAGUCUGUAAGCCUCAUGUGACUUCUGGCAGCAGUGACCCUCAAGGACAAGGACACAUACUCUAAGUAUGGAUUUUGCAGGAAGGGUGUCCUUCCUAGCAAUCUCCAGUGUAGGUACCGUCAUUAAGUCACUAGAUGAUUAAGUCACUCGAUGGCACUGAACUUAGUUGCAUGUGAAUGGAGUCAAGACUGUCCUGUGUAGGUUCCAUAAUUUUUGGAGUCAGCCAGCCAUUUUCUUGUUAAGCUUCGAGGCUGGAGUGUCCUCUGAACCAGUGUUCUUCAACCCUGGGUCCCCAUCAUCUCCAGUCAUCUUAGCCAAUGAUCAGGGAUUAUUUGAUAUGUAGUCCCAACAACAUCCGGGGACUCAAGGUUGAAGAACAUUGCUCCAAACCUUCCAUGACAUCUCCCACCAUGCACUGAUGAAGGUAACAGAGUGCCCACUCGACCGCUUGGAUUGGAAGAACAGGCACUACCACAGGUGCCAAAUUAUACCUGUUGCGCAUUUGUAAAAACUCAAUUGUUUACUGUGGCAGCACCUGCACUUUGGAACUCCCUCCCUGACCAAGCAGGAGCUAUCACUGUACUCUUUUUGGUACCAGCUAAAGGCUACCCAGAUGCUUAGAAAGUUGAGAUAAUGUUAACCUGUAUUUAACUUGUGUUUUCAGUAUUUUUGGGAUGGUUUUAAGCAGUGCUUUUUUCUGGGGGGAUACAGGGGGACGCAUACCCCAUAACAUUUUGUGAAUCUAAGUUUGGCCUCAUUGAGGGGCAGUAUUUCAAUAUGAGUAGGAAAAUGAGAGUACCCUAAACAUUUUUUAUUUUUUUUUUAAGAAAAAAGCACUGGUUUUAAGUAUGGAUGUAUUUUUUUCUUGGCAUUAUUGUUUUAUCUUUUUGUAAACUGCAUUGAGGUGUACUUUUUACAAUCAAGCAGUGCAUAAAUUUUAUUAACAUUUAUAAACGCACACGCCUCCAUAUGUAGACAUCCAGGAGAUUAUCAUUGGGAGUGGGAGAAGCUAGGCUGCUGCAUCAGCCAUGGCUCCCUGCAGAAAUCUCUCCUGUAUCUGGAUUUCUGUCUUAACAGAAAUAGGAUUAUUAAAAAUUGAUGCCACAGGUAACUUUCAGAGAAUGUGCUGUUCCUUCCUCUUCAGUAAUAAUACUACCUUUCUUCUAAGGCAGCUGUGGUUUAAAUGAAAGAAUAAAAAUUGCUGUUGGUUGCACAUCAAUAGGCAUCCCAAGGUGCACAUGGCACUAAGUGACUGCUCUGUUCUCAGUGCUACUCAAUUCAGUGGCUGGGAGAGAGAUGCAAGUUGCACACAUUAUACAGGCAGUAGACCACAGAGUGAGGAAAAGGGGUUGGGUCAAUGCUUUCCAAAAACAUUUUUUUAAAAAAAUUCCAAUCAUGAAAUGGAGAGUCCCAGGAAACCAGUGGACAUGAGUUCAGAUUUUGCUUUCUCUGUUGCGUCUGUAUGCUUUCUACCCUGCACUGAAUAGCAACCACGGGAAGCACACGAGUAGGACCGGAGCACACCAGCACUUCCCACUCCCCUGGUUUCCAGAAGCUGCUGUUUGGAAGCAUGACUGCCUUCAGCUGUGGAGGCAAAGCAUGGCCACCAUGACUAGUAACUCCAAUUCCAAUUAAGGGCCCUGUGGCUGCUUUUAGAAAAAGAGAAUCACACUGGCAGAUCCAACCACAGAUCUUCCAUGUCAUGUCUUGUUAGGCACCGAACGAUUGAUGUGCUAUCUGCACAUGUGAAUCAGCUCUGUAUGUAUUGACAGAUGAAACAAACAUUUAUUU